UCACUGGUAGUCUUGUGGUUAAGACUCUACACUUCCAAUGCAAGGGGCAUGGGUUCAAUCCCUGGUCAGGGAA
rnacentral:tRNA from 1 species